AUGUACUGCCAAGGACAGCACAUAGGCCGGUCCUGUUCAGAGAAAAAAAAUAACAUGGUUCUACCCAUCCCUGCUUCCCUGCUGUGCCAAAGCAGCUUCAAACGUGAAGAAAAAGCUGCACCCAGGACACAGUGCUUCCUUCCCCACAGCCUGACAUUGUUUCACUUCUGACUUGGGAACACAUCCAAGGCCUGGAGCAUCAGGAUGUUCUACAUCAUUACCUUGGAAAUCCCACCUCCGGUGUUGGUGCACUAUAACAACCUCCAGGGAAUGGCAAGAAGAAUAAAGCAGCCCCAUGAAAGCACGUGACGUAUGGAUAUUCCUACCUGGCUUCUUGACCACAGAGAAGACCUUGAGUGGUGAGAACCAAAUGGAAGCUGGUGAGGAACACAGGCCUACAAAGACAGCUUUGCAUCAUCCUAGCCAUCCAAACUACACCUCAAAUAUCUAGAAUGGGGUGUGGAUAAUGCUCACAAAGUGUGGGGAGGCCCACUUCCUGCCAUCUUCAUCUGGAGACCUGUAACUUCAUACUUAGGAAAAGGAAUGUCGAAGAGUUGACUUAGGUAUAAGCUACUGUUGAGCAGAGACUCCUCCGAAUUCAAUCAUUGGCAUCUCAAUGGCAUCAAAAGCCUCCGGUUCAAUCACUUAAAGCCCGUGCUUCUAGUGUACAGAGUUUGAGAAGAGUCCAAGUAAUGUGACACCAACCAAGACAGCCUGUCAAACUAAAAAUGCUGGUUGUUGCAACAGAAGAGAAGCCACAAAACUACCAAAGAAAACUCAUUAUGAGGACUAAGAUCAUUUACCAUACUGACACCACUAACUUGUAAAGGAACCGAAACUGAUGCUCAUAACUCCACAAAUAUUUAUUGUGCAAGAUCCAUGAAGCGAAGAUCCAAGGAGACAGAACUGCCGACUCUCCAGGAACUUUUUUUGCAGAGGGGAGGAGGGGGAGGAGAGAAAGGAUUACCAUAAAGCCUUUAAGGUAAUACAUGAAUAAAUGAUAUUAAAUGUCAGAAAAUGUGUGUGCUCUGGAAGGGACAGUGGGACUAAGAGAAGGGAGAGGGACAGUUUGUAAGUAGUUGUCCCAUCCAGACCUCACUGAAGGGGGAAAUCUGGACACAGGUUAGAUGGACAAGAAAGAAUUAAUCAAGCAGAUGACUGAAGAAAGCACAUUCUGGGAGAAGAAAAUCCCAUAUAAUAAUGAUGUAUUACAUGAAACUUUGUAUGCGUCAAAGUAAUAUUUCAUUCAUUUAUAUAAUAAUUGCACACAACAAAAUAUACUUUGGACAUGCAUUAUUUAUUUAUUUUAACAUAACUCUUUAUUGAUUCUUUGGGAAAUUCAUAUCAUGCACCCCAAUCUCACUCAUUUCCCAGUCUCUCUAUAUCUGCCUCUCACCCUCAUAGUGU